rnacentral:piRNA from 2 species
UAGAGACAAAUCAAACUAAACUUCCUACAGU